CUGCAUGAUGACAAACAAACAUGGGAUGCAGCACCAGAUUGAGUAUAGAAUGAAGUAGCAGAAGACCUCCCAAUAUUAUUUGGAA